GAAUGAAUACUAAAUCUUGGGUCACUAAAGAAAGCUUCUGGGUUAUUUAGGUCCCCUCUGUUGCCUCUCUGACUGUCACCUCAUCACCAGAAUGGGGAGCUGCAUCCUUGUGGAACAAAUGCAAAAUGUCUUUAGCCCUGUAAAUUGGUAUUUUAGGAAGGAAAUCAGAAGUAAGCAGUUCACCUGUGAUAUCACCUCUAGAAAUGACCGAGCCAUUUUCCUUUUCAUUCUUCACCUCCUGUUCUCAGGGAACACAGACUCCUGAGAAGCCACACCUUAAAAUUGAGGACAGAAGCAUGUGAGAACAGAACACUGUCAUCACCUCCAGGAUCUCUGGUGUUACCCACAUUAACUUCUUCAAUAACCACACCCACUGCCUCCCCAGUCUCUCUCCUGUCCCAGAUUUGCUUUAGCCCCAACAUGCAAAGGGAGAAUUUGAGCAAAAAGACUUCAAGGCAUCUUGCAGAGGUGGUAGGCCUCUAUAUAAGACUUUAAACUCCUACAGAUGUGGAUUUGGAUCAGCAUGAUCUGAUUAUUCUGGCUAUUGACUCCUCAUCGGUCUACAUGGUGGCCAUACAUUCUGGAUAUAGUCCACAUGGCGUAGUGGGCAAGUAUUUUCAGCGACGGUACUGUGUUUAUGGAGGCCGCUGCAGAUGUGAACACAGCAAGCCACUGAAACGAACAAGCAACUGCUACAGAUCUAACUACAAAAUCAUCCCUUGCUGCUUCCUUAAGUCUCUCAUUCAUAGUUGGACCGCUUGUGGAAAUGAAUACAGGCGAAGCUGAGUCAGACUCAAACUUUGCAACUGUAGGAGUGGGUUCAGAGGACUGGGUAGAUGCUGUUGAGUUUGUUCCUGGGCAACUCUACUGCAGCGUACACUGCCCCUUUCUGCAGUGACCAAGGGAGAAUCAGAGAAAGAGCAAACAGCUGUGAUAACAAGCUGCUUUGCCCCUAGGCUGCAGUGGGAGAGAUGGAAAUGGGUAGAACUGUGUGUAUCUCCACAGAGAGUCAUGUGAUCAUGUAAGCUGCAGGUCCUACCUCCAAUGGAUGCUGCCCAGAGACCACAGCAUAUAAAAAUCUUGUCCUGAGGCCCAUGAGAAGGAAACGGAGCUCUCAUUUGCUGUGCAGUGCAGCAAGGAUACGAUGUGUGGGAUCUGCAUGGAGGUGGUCUGUGAGAAAGCCAGCCCCAGUGAGCGUGGCUUUGGGAUCCUCUCCAGCUGCAGCCACGCCUACUGUCUCAAGUAUAUUCACAAGUGGAAGGGCACUAAGCUAUUUGAGAGCAAGAUCAUAGUGUCCUACCCAGAAUGCCGGAUCACAUCUAACUUUGUCAUUCCCAGUGAGUACCAGGCGGGAGAAAGAAGAGAAGCAGAAACUCAUCCAGAAAGUCAAGGAGGCAAUGAGCAGCCAGGCGUGCAGGGAUUUUGAUGAAGGACAGGGGAGCUGCCCAUCUUGGGGGAUGUGUUUUUACAAGCAGGUAUUCCCUGAUGGCCAUAGAAAGGAUACACAGAGACAGGCAAACAGAUACUGGGCCCAGUGAAGGAACCACUUCUCGGAGCUCAUUGAGGAAAGAGAGAACAAUGACCCCUUUGACAACAAUGAAGAAGAGGUUGUCACCUUUGAGCUGGGUGAGAUGUUGCUUAUGCUUUUGGCAGAUGGGGACGAUGAACUGACAGACUUUGAAAAUGAGUGGGACUUGUUCCAUGAUGAUCUGGAAGAUUUUUAUGACUUGGCUCAGUAGCCACCUUGCGUGGCAUGUGAACUGGCCUGCUGACCUCAGACAGCAGCAGUCCCCUGUGGUGGUGUGACAGUGCCCAUGUUUCUCUCCUAGGCAGGCCUAUCAACUCCAGGUGCUGUCUUAAUAAUUUUUACCUAGGGCCUGUCUUCUCAAUCUGUGACCUUUCCCCAAGGAGUG
rnacentral:lncRNA from 1 species